UUAAAAAUACUAGAUUUAGUGCUGGCAGAAUUUAUUAUAUUGCAUUUGAUUUGCUCGGUGGUUUUACUUAGUUCUUCUGACUAAGCUUUAUAACAUCAAUGGUUAUUCAGUUGAUGGUUGAUGACAAUAAACCUGCUACUGAUGGACAGCUUCAAGUCCCUAAUUAAGGUGAACGAGAGUGCAAGAAGCCAAGAUUAGCAGAAGGCUUUGGGUGCCAGGCUGAGGCUGCCGUUUAGUCAGGUCCAGUGAUUGAAGUAACAAAAGGCAUUUAGCAGGGGGUUGUAACAGUGACUGCAUUGUUGUUUCUCCUGUUAUUCGAGUAGAUGGUGUGAAAAAUGGGCACCAGUUAUCAUGGGCCAUCUGUAAACAAGACCUAUUAUGACUGCAUCCUUAAGAACAUGUUUCCUGUCAUGUGAAUUGUUGGCAUGCUUUGAGCCUAUGGUACUUUUGGUUUA